AUGGUGAAAAGUCCACGUUCUCCAGUUACAACAGGAACAAAAAGGUGCAGAGCAAAGCCACAAAAGAAGGGUGAAGAAUCCACCGCACAAGGAAAAUUGGUGGAUGGGCCUCAGGAUGCAACAAAUGGUGUUGAAAAGUGUGCUGGUUCUGCUACUCACAAGAGGCCAAGGAGGGCAGCAGCCUGUUCUGAUUUUAAGGAGAAAUCUGUACGUUUAUCAGAAAAAACUUCUGUUGUCAAGAUCAAGAAAAAUCGGAUGGAAGAGGAAGAAAUAGAUGCAAUCAACCUGACAAAAUUAGGGCCAGAAGAUUCACCGCCUUGCCGGAAGUUGAUUGAUUUCAUCUUGCAUGAUGCAGAUGGGAAUCUGCAGCCAUUUGAAAUGUCUGAAAUAGAUGAUUUUUUCAUAACAGCUCUUAUCAUGCCUAUGGAUGAUGAUCUAGAAAAAGAGCGUGAAAGAGGUGUAUGCUGUGAAGGAUUUGGGCGUAUUGAGGACUGGGCAAUAUCUGGUUAUGAUGAAGGUACUGCAGUGGUCUGGCUCUCAACAGAACUUGCUGAUUAUGAAUGUGUGAAACCAGCAAGCAACUACAAGUCUUACUUCAACCACUUUUAUGAGAAGGCACAGGUAUGUGUUGAAGUCUACAGAAAGCUCAUGAGAUCAGUAGGUGGGAAUCCUAACAUGAGUCUGGAAGAAUUGCUUGCUAGUGUUGUUCGCUCUGUUAAUGCCAUCCAAGGUUACACUGGAACAAUGAGCAAAGAAUUCAUGAUUGCCACUGGCGAGUUUGUAUACAACCAGCUUAUUGGUUUGGAUCAGACGGCAGGCAAUGAUGAUGAGAAGCUUGUUACAUUGCCAGUUCUUCUUGCUCUAAGAGAUGAGUGCAAAUCUCGAGCAGAAUUUACCAAGAUGCCACUUAGCAUUUCAAAUGGGAGCCUGAAGAUCAAGGAUAUUGAGCGUAAAGAGGUAGCUGAGGACGAUGAUGAGAAAUUAGCAAGAUUAUUGCAUGAAGAAGAAGAAUGGAAGAUGAUGAAGAAACAGAGGGGUAACCGUGGAGUCCCUUCCCAGAAAAAUGUCUACAUCAAAAUUAGUGAAGCUGAGAUUGCAAAUGACUACCCUCUGCCUGCAUACUAUAAACCAUCUAGCCAGGAAAUGGAUGAAUACAUAUUUGAUAGUGAGGAUGGCAUGUUCUCUGGUGAUGUGCCAGUAAGAAUCCUCAACAACUGGGCUCUAUACAAUGCAGAUUCUAGGCUUAUUUCUCUGGAAUUAAUCCCUAUGAAGUCAGGCGCAGAAAAUGAUAUAGUUGUCUUUGGAUCUGGUUUUAUGAGAGAGGAUGAUGGCAGUUGCUGUUCCACAGCUGAGUCUGCAAAGUUGUCUUCUUCAUCAAGUAAAGCUGAUAACCAGGAUGUAGGAGUUCCAAUAUAUUUGAGCCCAAUCAAGGAAUGGGUUAUAGAAUUUGGUGGCUUGAUGGUUUGCAUAACCAUUCGAACUGAUGUGGCUUGGUACAAGCUACGGCAGCCAAUAAAGCAAUAUGCUCCUUGGUGUGAACCUGUACUGAAAACAGCAAGGCUUGCUGUUAGCAUCAUCACCCUGCUAAAAGAGCAAAGCCGUGCUUCAAAGCUUUCUUUUGUUGAUGUCAUCAAGAAAGUGGCAGAGUUUGACAAAGAGAAUCCUGCUUUUAUAUCGUCCAAUAUUGUACUGGUUGAGAGGUACAUUGUGGUACAUGGACAGAUCAUACUUCAGCAGUUUGCAGAUUUCCCUGAUGAGACAAUUCGACGUUGUGCUUUUGCCACUGGCCUGUUGAUGAAGAUGGAGCAGAGAAGGCAUACAAAGUUGUUCAUGAAGAAAAAGGCUCAAGUAACAAGAGGAGAGAAUCUGAACCCAAUUGCAACAAUGGGAACAUCAUCAAAAAGAAAAGCAAUGCGUGCAACCACAACAAGAUUGAUCAACAGAAUAUGGAGUGAUUACUAUGCACACCAUUUCCCUGAAGAUUUGAAGGAGGGAGAUGGAAAUGAAGCAAAAGAAGUUGAUGAUGAACAAGAAGAAAAUGAAGAUGAGGAUGCUGAGGAAGAGGUACAGAUUGAGGAAGACAAGGUUGCAAAGACUCCACCAUCAACACGGUCUCGAAAAUUGGUAUCACAAACUAGCAAAGAAAUGAGAUGGAAGGGUGAGCCAGCUGGGAAAACAACUUCUGGAGAAGCUUUAUACAAAUGUGCGUAUGCACGGGAACUCAGAAUAGAUGUUGGAGGGGCAGUCACACUGGAAGAUGAUUCAGGAGAAAUAGUCAUAUGCUUUGUUGAGUACAUGUUUCAGAAAUCUGAUGGUGCAAAAAUGGUUCAUGGAAGAAUUCUGCAAAAAGGCUCAGAAACUGUUCUUGGCAAUGCUGCAAAUGAAAGGGACAUUUUCUUAACUAAUGACUGUUUGGAGUUUGAACUAAAGGACAUCAAAGAAUUGGUGUCUGUCAAUCUCCAAUCAAUGCCUUGGGGUCACAAGUAUAGAAAAGAGAAUUCUGAAGCUGAGAAGAUUGAGCGGGCCAAAGUGGGAGAGAGGAAAAAGAAGGGUCUGCCCAUGGAAUAUUUAUGUAGAAGCCUGUACUGGCCUGAGAAGGGUGCCUUCUUCUCUCUACCUUGUGAUAAACUGGGUCUUGGUAAUGGUGUCUGUGGCUCUUGUGAGCACAGAGAACCGGACUGUGAUGAAUUAAGAAUACUUACCAAGACCAGCUUCAUUUACAGAAAGGUAACCUAUAGUGUCCAUGACUUCUUAUACAUUAGGCCUGAGUUUUUCUCCCAAGAGGAGGAUCGUGGCACCUACAAGGCAGGAAGAAACAUUGGCCUGAAGCCCUAUGCAGUUUGCCAUCUUCUGGAUGUCUGUGGACCUGCUGGUUCUAAAAAAGUUGACCCUGCAUCAACCAAAGUCAGUGUUCGAAGAUUUUAUAGACCAGAUGACAUUUCAUCUGCUAAAGCUUAUACAUCUGAUAUCAGAGAGGUAUACUAUAGUGAAGAUAUAAUUAAUGUGCCGGUGGAUAUGAUAGAGGGAAAAUGUGAGGUCAGAAAGAAGAUAGAUAUCUCAAAUUCAGACCUUCCUGUAAUGAUUGAACAUGUAUUCUUCUGUGAGCAUUUCUAUGAUCGUGCCACUGGAGCUCUCAAGCAGUUGCCUUCAAAUGUAAAGCUCAUGUCUGUGGCUCGCAAGGCAACUGGUGCUUUGAAAAAGAACAAGGGAAAGCAGAUCUGUGAAAAUAAUGAAGUUGAUUCAGGCAAAUGGAUGGAAGUGCCCAAAGAGAGCCGUAUUGCAACUCUUGACAUUUUUGCUGGCUGUGGAGGUUUAUCAGAAGGGUUGCAGCAAGCUGGUGUGUCAUUUACAAAAUGGGCCAUUGAAUAUGAGGAACCAGCUGGUGAAGCAUUUAGGCAAAAUCAUCCGGAAGCUGCUGUGUUUGUGGAUAACUGCAAUGUGAUUUUAAAGGCAAUCAUGGACAAAUGUGGGGAUUCUGAUGACUGUGUCUCAACUUCUGAAGCUGCUGAACAAGCAGCUAAACUUGCUGAAGAGAAUAUUAAAAACCUUCCUGUCCCUGGUGAAGUAGAAUUCAUAAAUGGUGGUCCUCCCUGUCAGGGCUUUUCUGGCAUGAACAGAUUCAACCAAAGCCCAUGGAGUAAAGUUCAGUGUGAGAUGAUUUUAGCAUUCCUCUCUUUUGCGGAGUAUUUUCGUCCCAGAUUCUUUCUUUUAGAAAAUGUCAGGAAUUUUGUUUCCUUCAACAAAGGACAGACCUUCCGACUGGCAGUUGCAUCUCUUCUGGAAAUGGGAUACCAGGUUCGUUUUGGAAUCUUAGAAGCAGGUACUUUUGGUGUUGCUCAGUCCAGGAAAAGGGCAUUCAUUUGGGCUGCUGCUCCUGGAGAGAUUCUUCCUGAUUGGCCAGAACCGAUGCACGUGUUUGCUAGCCCUGAACUGAAAAUAACACUGCCUGAUGGCAAAUACUAUGCAGCUGCCAAAAGCACUGCUGGUGGGGCGCCUUUCCGUGCAAUAACUGUUAGAGAUACAAUUGGGGAUUUGCCGAAAGUGGAAAAUGGUGCAAGUAAACUCAUACUUGAGUAUGGAGGUGAGCCUACCUCUUGGUUUCAGAAGAAGAUCAGAGGUAGCACUAUUGCAUUGAACGAUCACAUAUCUAAGGAGAUGAAUGAAUUAAAUCUCAUAAGAUGCAAACACAUUCCCAAACGACCUGGUUGUGACUGGCAUGACCUGCCAGAUGAGAAGGUGAAGCUAUCUUCUGGGCAAAUGGUGGACCUGAUACCUUGGUGCUUGCCUAACACCGCUAAAAGGCACAAUCAGUGGAAGGGUCUGUAUGGGAGGUUAGAUUGGGAGGGCAAUUUCCCCACUUCUGUGACUGAUCCUCAGCCGAUGGGCAAGGUUGGCAUGUGCUUCCAUCCUGACCAGGACAGGAUUAUCACGGUCCGUGAAUGUGCGCGAUCUCAGGGCUUUCCUGACAGCUACCAGUUUUCGGGCACCAUUCAGAGCAAGCACAGGCAGAUUGGCAACGCUGUGCCACCCCCUCUUGCCUUUGCGCUUGGGAGGAAGCUGAAGGAAGCCGUCGAUGCGAAGCGUCAGCAGGCCUGA
rnacentral:rRNA from 1 species